GAACGUUAAAUAGAUUAGUGCUAUGCUCGGUUACGGUCCGGGAAGAGAUUCGUUUU
rnacentral:tRNA from 1 species